GUGGAGCAUAACGAGGAGCAGUGACAGGAGCAUGCUGCUGACACAGGAGGAUGACCAUGCCCCCUGCUGUCUGGCAGGACAGCAAUGAGACCUAUGGUCCCAUUACUGCAUCUCAGUGGUUUUCCUGAUCCAUCUGUGGUGCUCCUUGCUCUCUGGACGAAUAACCCUGGCUAUCAGGCAGCUGUUUGAUCUCCAGUCUCUUGGCUGCUACAGCUGCGGGGGUGAUUUGGAAGCAUCUUCCACCUUUCCUUAAGAGCCACUAGAUUUAUCAGACAUCAUGAGAACCAUACCUGCCUGCAUAUGUGUUUGUGUGUGUGCAUGUCAUCAGUCAGCAUCUGUGCAGGUUUGUGCACAGCUGUGACACAGAUCUGCUUCUUCAGAGGGGAUUUCAACACACAGACAAAGACAAGGGGGCCUUGAUGGAAGAAAGGGUUGGAGAAGCACUGCUGUAGACAACUACUGAUGCGAUUCAGGAACUGGAAGGGCCAUCUAAUUUCAUCAGGGAAGAUUUUACCACAGCUUCAUGUAACUCUGUUUCAAAGGAGCACUUGAAGUUGGGGGUAAUGGGUAAAGAAAUGGGGCGGAGCUCCAGUCUCUAUGGGCUUAAUUUUCAUGCUCAUGCAAUAAAAUUACU